UUUUUCUAUUUACGCAUGAAUUUUGGCCAUUUUUUUUUAAAAUUUGAAAAAUCAAUUUUUAAUGCUUGUAUUGCUGUUUUAAUCAUGCCAUAUGAUGUGUUCAUCAUAGUAGAACAUGUUAAUGUGCAUUUUACAGAUUUGGGGUGCCAUUUUAUAUUUUUUAAAUAUUUUUUUCUAUUUACGCAUGAAUUUUGGCUUUUUUAAAAAAAAUUUGAAAAAUCAAUUUUUAAUGGUUGUUUUGCUGUUUUAAUCAUGCCAUAUGAUGUGUUAAUCAUAGUAGAACAUUAGAACAUGUUAAUGUGCAUUUUACAGAUUUGUGGUGUCAUUUUAUAAA